rnacentral:rRNA from 1 species
AUUUAAAAAAAAGAAAAAAAUUUAGGUUUUUUAAAACAAUUGUCCCGGGCGGGGAAAAAUGAGGAAAGGAUGGGAUGAAAACGAUACAAGAAUUUUUAUCAUAAAGGUAAAAUUAAAAUUUGUCGGAAGCAAAAACAGGAGGUGAGAAGAGUAUUGAAAAAUAGAAACCGAAUAAAACACAAAGGAAGGUAGGGUAAUCUAAAAUACCCAAAAAAAAAAAGGGAGGGUUUCACAAAUGGGAAUCUUUUCAGAGGGGGGGCAAAGAAUAAAAUAAAGUUGUGUUUUUCAUGUCGGAGUUGAUAGAGGAAAUGGCCGUUAAAAACACACAAAGAAUUAUUUCCAUAAAAUUUAAUCAAACCAAAAAAAAAAGAAAGAGAAAGGGAUUGUGUUUUUAAAAGAUCUGGCGAAAAGAGAAAAGAUCUCAGGCGGGAUUUGUCGGGUGACAGGGUCAGGUAGAAGGCUCUGAAUUGGUUGGCAAUGAGAUUGACUAAAAGCAUCAACAAUACACCCAGACAGUGAAGCGCUGGAAACAUAUGGAGUCGAAGGAAAAAAUCGGGUUCAUGCAAACACGACGGCUGUUCUCAGGACGCAAUUAGUAAUGUAACCUAGAUAGACAUCUGAGUAAGCCAAACGAAUAAAUCAAAACAUUCAACAACGGAUCUCUUGGUUCAGGCAUCGAUGAAGAACGCAGCAAAAUGCGAGAAGUAAUGUAAAUUGCAGAAUUCAGUGAAUCAUAGAAUCUUUGAACGCACAUUGCGCCCGCUGGUAUUCCGGCGGGCAUGCCUGUUCGAGAGUCAUAUCAACCCUCAAGCCCCCGAGUUUGGUGUUGGGGAUCGGCUCUGCCAUUCUGGGCGGAUGCCGCCCCCGAAAUACAUUGGCGGUCUCGCUGCAGCCUCCAUUGCGUAGUAGCUAACACCUCGCAAGUGGAACGCGGCGCGGCCAUGCCGUAAAACCCCAACUUCUGAAUGUGACCUCGGAUCAAGUACGAAUCCCCAGUUCC